rnacentral:rRNA from 1 species
CAGUCGACGGUGAAGCGAGAGCUUGCUCUUGUGGAUCAGUGGCGAACGGGUGAGUAACACGUGAGUAACCUGCCCCAGACUCUGGGAUAAGCCUUGGAAACGAGGUCUAAUACCGGAUAAGCGACUCCACCGCAUGGUGAGGGUUGGGAAAGUUUUUCGGUCUGGGAUGGACUCGCGGCCUAUCAGCUUGUUGGUGAGGUAAUGGCUCACCAAGGCGACGACGGGUAGCCGGCCUGAGAGGGCGACCGGCCACACUGGAACUGAGACACGGUCCAGACUCCUACGGGAGGCAGCAGUGGGGAAUAUUGCACAAUGGGCGAAAGCCUGAUGCAGCGACGCCGCGUGGGGGAUGAAGGCCUUCGGGUUGUAAACCCCUUUCAGCAGGGAAGAAGCGAAAGUGACGGUACCUGCAGAAGAAGCGCCGGCUAACUACGUGCCAGCAGCCGCGGUAAUACGUAGGGCGCAAGCGUUGUCCGGAAUUAUUGGGCGUAAAGAGCUCGUAGGCGGUUCGUCGCGUCUGCUGUGAAAGCCCGAGGCUCAACCUCGGGUCUGCAGUGGGUACGGGCGGACUAGAGUGUGGUAGGGGAGACUGGAAUUCCUGGUGUAGCGGUGGAAUGCGCAGAUAUCAGGAGGAACACCGAUGGCGAAGGCAGGUCUCUGGGCCACAACUGACGCUGAGGAGCGAAAGCGUGGGGAGCGAACAGGAUUAGAUACCCUGGUAGUCCACGCCGUAAACGGUGGGCACUAGAUGUGGGGCUCUUUCCAUGAGUUCCGCGUCGCAGCUAACGCAUUAAGUGCCCCGCCUGGGGAGUACGGCCGCAAGGCUAAAACUCAAAGGAAUUGACGGGGGCCCGCACAAGCGGCGGAGCAUGCGGAUUAAUUCGAUGCAACGCGAAGAACCUUACCAAGGCUUGACAUAUACCCUCUAUCCCUGGAGACAGGGA